GACGAACGCUGGCGGCGUGCUUAACACAUGCAAGUCGAACGGUGACGAGGAGCUUGCUCCUCCGAUCAGUGGCGAACGGGUGAGUAACACGUGAGCAACCUGCCCCUCACUCUGGGAUAACAGUUGGAAACAGCUGCUAAUACCGGAUACGACACAGACAGGCAUCUGUACUGUGUGGAAAGUUUUUCGGUGAGGGAUGGGCUCGCGGCCUAUCAGUUUGUUGGUGGGGUAAUGGCCUACCAAGACGACGACGGGUAGCCGGCCUGAGAGGGCGACCGGCCACACUGGGACUGAGACACGGCCCAGACUCCUACGGGAGGCAGCAGUGGGGAAUAUUGCGCAAUGGACGGAAGUCUGACGCAGCGACGCCGCGUGAGCGACGAAGGCCUUCGGGUCGUAAAGCUCUGUUCUUGGGGACGAAUAAAAUGACGGUACCCAAGGAGAAAGACCCGGCUAACUACGUG
rnacentral:rRNA from 1 species